UACAGAGGGUGCAAGCGUUGUUCGGAAUUAUUGGGCGUAAAGGGAGUGUAGGCGGUUCGUUAAGUCUUCUGUGGAAUCUACGGGCUUAGCCUGUAACGUGCAGAGGAAACUAGCGGGCUUGAGUGUCGGAGAGGAUAGGGGAAUACCCAGUGUAGAGGUGAAAUUCGUAGAGAUUGGGUGGAACACCAGUGGCGAAGGCGCCUAUCUGGCUGACAACUGACGCUGAGACUCGAAAGCAUGGGGAGCAAACAGG
rnacentral:rRNA from 1 species